rnacentral:lncRNA from 1 species
UUAAAAGUUUAAACUGCAUACAAAAAUCAGCUCUAUUUACGGAAGAUAUGAGAAUUACAAUCUGCCUCUGAUGUGGUCGUUUGUGCUGUGUAUGUUUGUCGUUGGUGCUGCCUAGGAUGGCCAGGUCUUCAUGGGGGCUUCAUCGCCGUUGCAUACAUGGCCGGGCGUCUACGCAAGGGAAGAGUAAAGAAACAGGUCAGGGUACCACAGAGGCUGUGGCGCAACGCUGUUGGCGCAGCCUCCUCCCGGCAGCGCCCUUCUUCUUCUUCCUCACAACUCUCUCUUAUCUUUCAUGGUUUGUGUCGCACAAACACGUGAACGCACACAUACCAGGGGAACACACACACGUACACACUUCACCAAGAAAGAAGGAUCACAAUGGCUUUGCCAAAUACACUUUCCUGGUGGCACGCUGUGGCUACAUGUUUCCCUCGGCCCUCACUGCCGCGUCUUUUUUCCUUCAUCUUCUCCAACUUAAAUAGCUAAAUACAAGACUGACCCACGUCUUUGCCAGCCGCCACUCUCACGACUGGUAACGCCCACUAGCCCAUGCACUAGGCCACUUAUCACAACAAACUCAUGCACCCAUGCACCAGACCGGCCACUACCACAUGACCCGGCCACUAACCCAGUAGCUACAUGCAAGCAACUAGAUAACGACCUUAUCCAUGCACUUAAGGACUCGGCAAUUCCACUGGACGCCCCGCUCGUAACAGCCGCAGAACUCGACUGCUAACGGAACCACACAUGUCGAGAUUAGUGUUAACAUUAUCCCUCUUAAUCUUGACAUGCCUUACCGUCGACUGUCAUCUUGAACGCCUGAGCUCGACGUCAUCACGCGCCUCCGCGCCCGCUGGGACGUGCCGUGUGCCCGCCUGUCACCAGAGUUGAUGCAGGUCGCGUCAUUGUUGUUAUCACGGCCGUGACCCAGCCCGCGGACCCGACCUGGGGCACCGACGCCGGUCGCACCGUGCUCCGUCACGACUCCGGCGACACACGCCGAGCUCCUUCUCUGCCGGUGACAUAUGUCCGGCGUCCCUCUGCGCCCCGCACGUCCCGCGCGCACCCGACGCGCCCGGCGAGUCCGAACGCACCAGUGCGUCCCGCACGUCCCGCGCGCACCCGACGUGCCCGGCUGCACCAAACGCUCACCACGUGCCGCCUCGGUGUCCACCAUGGCAGCCGCCAGCGAAAAACGCCAGAAGGAUGUAGCCGAACUCAAGCACAACGGCGACAUACGCCUCCUCCCAACGCCAACCGCACGUUCGUAUGCGCGCCGGCGGUCCCGAUGCGCCCGACGCGUCCAGUGCACACCCAUAACACGCACCGGUCGCACCCGGCUCGCCGCCACGGCUUAUUGCCCUGCACCGCUGCGGCCUCAACCGCAGCGCAGCAUCUCCAUGCAACCAUGCCGCUGUGUGUCAUUGAAGUUGCCACUACGCAGGUCCUGCGCGGCCUCCUCACCGUGCCGCCGCAGCCACCGCGGCCUCCUCGCCGCACCGCGCACCUCCAUAGACCGACACACGGCCCGGAGCAUCACGCAGCCGCCGGCGAACUCCGUCACCGCCGCCACGCCUGCGGCACGGCGAACCACGCCCAAGACAACCAAGCUCUGAUACCAAGUGUUGGCACCGCCUCCUCCCCGCAGCGCCCUUCUUCUUCUUCCUCACAACUCUCUCUUAUCUCUUUCAUUGUUUGUGUCGCACAAACACGUGAACACACACAUACCAGGGGAACACACACACGUACACACUUCACCAAGGAAGAAGGAUCACAAUGGCUUUGCCAAAUACACUUCCCUGGUGGCACACCGUGGUUACAUGUUUCCCUCGGCCCACACAGACGAGUCUUCUCUCAUUCAUCUUCUCCAUCUUAAAUAGCUAAAUACAAGACUGACCCACGUCUUUGCCAGCCGCCACUCUCACGGCUGCUAACGCCCACUAGCCCAUGCACUAGGCCACUUAUCACAACUAACUCAUGCACGCAUGCAUCAGACCGGCCACUACCACAUGACCCGGCCACUAACCCAGUAGCUACAUGCAUGCAACUAGAUAACGACCUUAUCCAUGCACUUAAGGACUCGGCAAUUCCAC